UACGUAGGGAGCAAGCGUUGUCCGGAAUCAUUGGGCGUAAAGCGCGCGUAGGUGGCCUCAUAAGUCCGCUGUGAAAGUCAAAGGCUCAACCUUUGAAAGCCGGUGGAUACUGUGAGGCUAGAGUACGGAAGAGGCGAGUGGAAUUCCUGGUGUAGCGGUGGAAUGCGCAGAUAUCAGGAGGAACACCAAUGGCGAAGGCAGCUCGCUGGGACGGUACUGACACUGAGACGCGAAAGCGUGGGGAGCAAACAGG
rnacentral:rRNA from 1 species